UGGCUCUCGCAUCGAUGAAGAACGCAGCGAAAUGCGAUAAGUAAUGUGAAUUGCAGAAUUCAGUGAAUCAUCGAAUCUUUGAACGCACCUUGCACCCUUUGGUAUUCCGAAGGGUAUGCCCGUUUGAGUGUCAUUGUAAUCUCACCCUGCAGAGCCUUGCUGUGUGGAGGUGGACUUGGAGGUCGUGGCUGCAUUUGCUCCACCCCUCUGGAAUGCAUCAGUAAAGUCGUUUCACGAUGUUGUCGGUGUGAUGAGUGUCUUCACCGCAGCCGCAAGGCGCGUCGUGCUUCCGAACCUUUGCUCACAACCGUCCCGUCCAUUGGGACACAAACUUGACAUCUUGACCUCAAAUCGGGUAGGACUACCCGCUGA
rnacentral:misc_RNA from 1 species